AGAGAGCAUCAAAUGAAAGAUAUUCGACUUGUUACAUCACCCUGAUCAUCCGUGGAUUCAUGCAGAAGGCUAUUUGGCAAACCUCAUGGAAAGAAAGCAGGAUUGGAGUCUGCUGUUUCGAGCUGGAAACAUCAUGCGUGGCCAUCAUACAAACAACUAUGCAGAGUCCAACAUGUGUCUCAUCAAGGAUGUUAUCUUGAACAGGUGCAAAGCAUACAAUACAUGCCAGCUCAUCAUGUUCAUGAAUGAGAUCUACGAUGGCUACAUGAAGCAACGCCUUCUUGAUGUGGCCUUAUGCCGAAGAAAAAUUAAAAAAUCAAUGAUCGCCACCAUCCCCCCAGAACAUGUUA